AAAAGGAGAAUUUUAACCACGUCAUCUACUCACCUCUGCACAAUUUUAACACCGUUAACAAUUUUUAACGGCAGGGGCUAAUUUGUUUCAAAUUAACACUUAUAAGGACUCAAUUGGGAAGGUUUAAAAGAAGGGGACCAAAUUGGAAAUACCUUACGAAAAUAGGGACGCCUAAAUGGUUUUAACCUUAUUUUAUAUUAGAUUUUACAUUUUUUUACUUCACCCAUUGUUUGUUUUCUGUUUGAAGUGAUAAAAGACACAUCUUUAGCUAUAAAAUUAAACAAUUCCAUGAAUUUUUACCUUAGUUUGCUUCCUAUACACAUUAGGGGGAAUUAAGUUUUUAUUAGCAUUUAUGCAACCAAAUUUCUUGAUAACACAUACCUCUUAUCCAUAACUAAGCACACUCAAAGAGUUGGAGUCAUAUGUGAAAGGUGGCCCUAAGCUCUUAUCAUCAUUGACCAUCAAUGAGCGUUUAGAAGAAUAGGUUUAUUUUAUACCUUUUAUUAUGGGUCUGGUAGUGUACAUUUUUCC
rnacentral:lncRNA from 1 species